UUUUUUUAUGUGUAACUUUACACAUAGUAGUAAUAGACGCACAUAAAUCAACUAGUAGUAAUGGUACUGCUACUAAUGGUGUAAAACAUGAUGGAGAUAAUUCAGAAAAACGUAAAAAAGAAAAUAAUGGUGAUACAACCUUGGAUAAUUUGAAUGAAGGAAACAGUUCAACAAAUGAUAAAAAUAAAGAAACGUCUAAAAAAAAAAAUCAAAAAAAUAAAAAAGCUAUGAAAGAUAGAAGUAAUGAAAAAGUAGAAACAAAUACAAACGAUUCUGUGAAUGGUAUAAAUAAUAAUUCGGACGAAGAUUUUAUAAAAGAAUAUAAUACUUAUGAAAAACAGCUGUUAGAUAAAGAAGCUGAAAGUGGUGAAGUAGCUAGCGAAGUAGGUAAAGAGAAAGAUGAUAAAGUUAAUAAUGAAAACUAUGAUAAAGAUGAGAGCGCAGAUGAAGAUGGAGAUGGAGGCGAAGAAAACGGAGAAGUAAACGGAGAAGUAAACGGAGAAGUAAACGGAGAAAUAAACGAAGAGGGUAGUCAAGACGGUUCAAAGGUAGCCGGGAAAGUUGCUGGUGACGUAGAUAUUGAAGUAGCUAGAAAGGUAAAUAGAGAUGUAAAUAAAGAACAUAAUAAUAAAGCGAGUACUACAACAGGUACUGCAAUGGGUGCUGAAACUGGUACUAAAAGAAGCAGUAAUACUACUACUAAUACUACUAAUAAUACUACUACUACUACCACUACUAGUAGUUCUACUAACAAUACCGAUACCUCUACUACAAAAAAAACUCCCAAUAAGGAAGCAACAGCAACACAAACACAAACACAAACACAAACACAAACACAAACACCGGAUGAAGAAAAACAAAAAGCAAACAAAAAAGAAGAAACACCCCAAAAAAAUGAUUAUGAUACUAAAAAACCUGAUGUUUAUGAAUUUAUUGAUAGUGAUGAUGAUGAUGAUGAUGAUGAAGAUGAUGAUAUGAAAAAUAAUGAUAACGAUUUAACAUAUUUAUGGAAUCAAAACAUGAAAAAUUUUGAGCCAACCACUUUAUUAACUUUUGAAAUAGGAGCAAACGUAGAAGAAUAUUUAUUUGAAGAAAUUGGAAAAUUAAAUACUUACUUUCGUGGUUUGUUUUAUUCAAAUGAUGACUAUGAAGAAAAUGAAAUUGAGUUUGUUAUUUCAGACCCAGAUGGUGAUAUUGUAUAUAGAAAAGAAGCUAGUGAAGGUAUUUUUUAUUUUUAUACUAAAAAGAUAGGUAUAUAUACUAUCACAAUAAAAAAUCAUAAAUGGAUUGAAAAAAAAAUAAUAACUGUCGCUAUAGGAUUAGGUAAAAGUCCAUCUCUUAAAUCUGAUCAUGUAAAAGAUUUUACGAAUUAUAUAGAAAAAAUCGUUUCAGAAACAAAUAAAUUAAAAAAUGAAAUAAAAUAUCUAGCAUCUAAACAUAGCUC
rnacentral:lncRNA from 1 species